rnacentral:rRNA from 1 species
UGACGUUCAGGUGCGAAAGCGUGGGGAGCAAACAGGAUUAGAUACCCUGGUAGUCCACGCUGUAAACGAUGUCGAUUUAGAGGUUGUGGUCUUGAACCGUGGCUUCUGGAGCUAACGCGUUAAAUCGACCGCCUGGGGAGUACGGCCGCAAGGUUAAAACUCAAAUGAAUUGACGGGGGCCCGCACAAGCGGUGGAGCAUGUGGUUUAAUUCGAUGCAACGCGAAGAACCUUACCUACUCUUGACAUCCAGCGAAUCCUUUAGAGAUAGAGGAGUGCCUUCGGGAACGCUGAGACAGGUGCUGCAUGGCUGUCGUCAGCUCGUGUUGUGAAAUGUUGGGU